CAGAAAGAAUAUCUUCUCAAUAAUUGGAUUCUUUGGACAGAGGUCAAGAAGCUUUUAGGACUAUCUACUGAUAAUUUGGACAGUGAUACUCCAGAGCUUCAAAAUCGGAAGUAAAAUCAGCUGGACAGUUGCCUGCUGCUUUCAUAAAUAGGGAGAAAGCGGCAUUACUGGUGUGGAUGCCUGCCAUGUUUGCUUCACCAGAAUGAGAUAGGGCAUGCAGGAGAGAAGGGAUAUUUCUGCAAGUAGAAGCUGCCAUGAUUUCUCAGGGGACACAAUUUUGCUUAUUUGUACCUUCUACUGUGGCAAAAAUGGAUUAUUUUCCUCACCAAAAACCAGCGGUAUAAUGCGCAUCUGACACAUGCCUCAAGGAAAUCUUAUUUAAAGUCUGUUGAAAGAGUCAGAAUCAUGGAAAAAGAGGCAAGACCAAGGAGGGUGCUAGAUAUCAAAAACCAAAGGAAAAAGAUGACAAUGUCACAAGCUGUAUUGCAUCUUCCCAUUAAA
rnacentral:lncRNA from 1 species